rnacentral:rRNA from 1 species
GACGAACGCUGGCGGCGUGCUUAACACAUGCAAGUCGAACGGAAAGGCCCUGCUUUUGUGGGGUGCUCGAGUGGCGAACGGGUGAGUAACACGUGAGUAACCUGCCCUUGACUUUGGGAUAACUUCAGGAAACUGGGGCUAAUACCGGAUAGGAGCUCCUGCUGCAUGGUGGGGGUGGGAAAGUUUCGGCGGGUGGGGAUGGACUCGCGGCUUAUCAGCUUGUUGGUGGGGUAGUGGCUUACCAAGGCUUUGACGGGUAGCCGGCCUGGGAGGGUGACCGGGCACAAUGGGACUGAGAUACGGACCAGACUCCUACGGGAGGCAGCAGUGGGGAAUAUUGCACAAUGGGAGGAAGCCUGAUGCAGAAACGCCGCGUGCGGGAUGACGGCCUUCGGGUUGUGAACCGCUUUAGCCUGUGACGAAGCGUGAGUGACGGUAAUGGGUAAAGAAGCACCGGCUAACUACGUG